CGGAUGACGGGAGCUUGCUCCUGAAUUCAGCGGCGGACGGGUGAGUAAUGCCUAGGAAUCUGCCUGGUAGUGGGGGACAACGUCUCGAAAGGGACGCUAAUACCGCAUACGUCCUACGGGAGAAAGCAGGGGACCUUCGGGCCUUGCGCUAUCAGAUGAGCCUAGGUCGGAUUAGCUAGUUGGUGAGGUAAUGGCUCACCAAGGCGACGAUCCGUAACUGGUCUGAGAGGAUGAUCAGUCACACUGGAACUGAGACACGGUCCAGACUCCUACGGGAGGCAGCAGUGGGGAAUAUUGGACAAUGGGCGAAAGCCUGAUCCAGCCAUGCCGCGUGUGUGAAGAAGGUCUUCGGAUUGUAAAGCACUUUAAGUUGGGAGGAAGGGCAUUUACCUAAUACGUAAGUGUUUUGACGUUACCGACAGAAUAAGCACCGGCUAACUCUGUGCCAGCAGCCGCGGUAAU
rnacentral:rRNA from 1 species